UACGUAGGGUGCGAGCGUUAAUCGGAAUUACUGGGCGUAAAGCGUGCGGAGGCGGUUUUGCAAGCCGGAUGUGAAAUCCCCGGGCUCAACCUGGGAAUGGCAUUCGGGACUGCAAGACUGGAGUGCGGCAGAGGAGACUGGAAUUCCUGGUGUAGCAGUGAAAUGCGUAGAUAUCAGGAGGAAUACCGAUGGCGAAGGCAGGUCUCUGGGCUGACACUGACGCUCAUGCACGAAAGCUGGGGGAGCAAACAGG
rnacentral:rRNA from 1 species